GACGAACGCUGGCGGCGUGCCUAAUACAUGCAAGUCGAGCGAGCUUGCCUAGAUGAAUUUGGUGCUUGCACCAAAUGAAACUAGAUACAAGCGAGCGGCGGACGGGUGAGUAACACGUGGGUAACCUGCCCAAGAGACUAGGAUAACACCUGGAAACAGAUGCUAAUACCGGAUAACAACACUAGACGCAUGUCUAGAGUUUAAAAGAUGGUUCUGCUAUCACUCUUGGAUGGACCUGCGGUGCAUUAGCUAGUUGGUAAGGUAACGGCUUACCAAGGCAAUGAUGCAUAGCCGAAUUGAGAGACUGAUCGGCCACAUUGGGACUGAGACACGGCCCAAACUCCUACGGGAGGCAGCAGUAGGGAAUCUUCCACAAUGGACGCAAGUCUGAUGGAGCAACGCCGCGUGAGUGAAGAAGGGUUUCGGCUCGUAAAGCUCUGUUGGUAGUGAAGAAAGAUAGAGGUAGUAACUGGCCUUUAUUUGACGGUAAUUACUUAGAAAGUCACGGCUAACUACGUGCCAGCAGCCGCGGUAAUACGUAGGUGGCAAGCGUUGUCCGGAUUUAUUGGGCGUAAAGCGAGUGCAGGCGGUUCAAUAAGUCUGAUGUGAAAGCCUUCGGCUCAACCGGAGAAUUGCAUCAGAAACUGUUGAACUUGAGUGCAGAAGAGGAGAGUGGAACUCCAUGUGUAGCGGUGGAAUGCGUAGAUAUAUGGAAGAACACCAGUGGCGAAGGCGGCUCUCUGGUCUGCAACUGACGCUGAGGCUCGAAAGCAUGGGUAGCGAACAGG
rnacentral:rRNA from 1 species